UGGCUCAGUGGUAAAGCACUUGCCUUGCAUGCAUGAGGCCCUGGGUUCGAUUCCCCAG
rnacentral:tRNA from 1 species